rnacentral:rRNA from 1 species
GCGUUGUCCGGAUUUAUUGGGCGUAAAGAGCGUGUGGGCGGCUAGGUAGGUCCGUUGUGAAAACUCGAGGCUCAACCUCGUGACGUCGAUGGAAACCUUCUGGCUAGAGUCCGGAAGAGGAGAGUGGAAUUCCUGGUGUUGCGGUGAAAUGCGCAGAUAUCAGGAAGAACACCCGUGGGGAAGGCGGCUCUCUGGUACGUGACUGACGCUGAGUCGCGAAAGCGUG